CUUAAAAUCCUGUUUCUAAAACAUACAAUGAGUGCUAGAGCAUUGAAUGAUGUCUUAGUGAGAAUAACUAAUUAGAUGUCAAGACUCUAGAGUUGAUUGACAGGUGUCAUUUAGAUUGCCCCCACUCUAAAGACAUCUCAGUGCAACUGGUGGAGAAUACUCAUUAUACAAAGGUUCUUAUCUUUUAAUAAUGGUACUUAGUAUGUUCACUAGGAUAUUAAUGGACACUAUAGAAAAUCAUUAAAAUAGAAAGCAAUUUUUUCAAGUAUCAGAACUUGAUAUGUGUGUGUGAUAUGUAUUUCAUUUACAUAUAGCAUAUAUUAUUUUAGACAAACAUUACAUAUGAUGCCCUAUGUUGGCUCCUUCUCCUCCUCCUCCUAGGUGCAUCCUCUCCUAAUGGGGCCAGACAAGACAGACAAGUUUUGGGAACAGGAUCCACAGUAGGCAUCAAAUUCAGGGAGAGCUGCCACUCCAGUUGUUGACAGACCUGCAUGAUGAUGCACUUCUGCUACCUAUGUGCAGGGGGCCUAGGGCCAACCAUGUGUGCCCUUUGAUUGGUGCCUCAGUCUCUGAGAGCCCGCAAGGGUUCAGGUUACAGGCCAUCAUCAUCGGAAGCCAAGGCAGGAAGUCAAGGAAGAACCCACAGUCAGGAACUGAAAUAGAACCAUGGAGGGAAGCUGCUAACUGAGUUGAUCCUCGUUGGUCCUCAUGUUUCAGGAGAAUUCUUAUUUUGAAACAACACAGAACUACAAGAAUGGGAGUCCCAUUACCCACAGUGAGAUCUCCACCUGCUCACCUCAUCCUUCUUGCAGCUGGCUGAGAAUUUAGCAAAGGAAAGUGACAAGAAUCGGGUAUUCGAAACUUGUUUCAGGUUCCUGUUUGCAGCAUCGGUUUUUAUCGGUGUGGGAGACUUCUCCAGCAGACUCUUCCUGCUUUCAAGCUCUUGUUUCCUCUGGUACUUUCCAGUUGGUCUGUUUCAGAGUUCCUCCACAACAGAGCCGCAGCCUUCCCAAGGCUCAGCCAUGCUCGUGGCGCUCCUCCCAGUGCUGGGGAUAAACUUUCUCCUGAGUGAGUACAGCAUCCUUGUGGUCUCUGUAUCCCUGCAUUCUGACUGUCCUCAAUAAAGUCUGCACUGCACUUACUGACCUAAUAUUCCCUUCCAGGAGUUGCCCAAGCUCAGUCAGUGACUCAACCUGACGCUCAUGUCACUGUCUCUGAAGAAGCCUCUCUGCAGCUGAGAUGCAAGUAU